rnacentral:rRNA from 1 species
GAUGAACGCUGGCGGCGUGCCUAAUACAUGCAAGUCGAGCGAACGGACGAGAAGCUUGCUUCUCUGAUGUUAGCGGCGGACGGGUGAGUAACACGUGUAUAACCUACCUAUAAGACUGGGAUAACUUCGGGAAACCGGAGCUAAUACCGGAUAAUAUUUUGAACCGCAUGGUUCAAAAGUGAAAGACGGUCUUUCUGUCACUUAUAGAUGGAUCCGCGCUGCAUUAGCUAGUUGGUAAGGUAACGGCUUAACAAGGCAACGAUGCAUAGCCGACCUGAGAGGGUGGUAGGCGACCUUGGAACUGGGACGCGGUCCAGAGGCCUGAGGGAGGCAGCAGUAGGGAAUGUUACGCAAUGGGCGAGAGCAUGACGGAGUAAGCGGGAGGGAGAGAUGAAGGUGCUCGGAUCGGAAAACUCUGUUAUGAGGGAAGAACAUAUGUGUAAGUAACCGUGCACAUAGUGACGGUAACUAAUAAGAAAGCACCGGCUAACUACGUG